rnacentral:rRNA from 1 species
GCAAGCGUUAAUCGGAAUUACUGGGCGUAAAGCGCGCGUAGGCGGUUUGUUAAGUGUGAUGUGAAAGCCCAGGGCUCAACCUUGGAACUGCAUCACAUACUGGCAGGCUAGAGUACGGUAGAGGGGGGUAGAAUUCCACGUGUAGCGGUGAAAUGCGUAGAGAUGUGGAGGAAUACCAGUGGCGAAGGCGGCCCCCUGGAUCGAUACUGACGCUGAGGUGCGAAAGCGUGGGGAGCA